UCUCCUCUGUUCCCACAUCUUCCCAAAGUUCCUUCUCCUCCUCCGUGACUCCUGCUGCUCCCUCUCAGCGUGACCAAUAACAGCCCCGAGGAGGCAUCCUCGUAAUUCCCUGUAAAUGACAACUAAUGAAGAUGCACCUUCAGCAGUCAUGGAUGAGCGCUCUCCUCUUGUGGCUGUAUCAAGCACACGCCCAAUUAGCAUCGCAUGGUAGGUGUUCGCCCUCCCUCCUCUACAUGCCUGAAUACAUCCACAGUCCGCAGCCAGACCUCCAGCAGUUGGAGUGUAUUAUGUGAAGUUGUGGACCGAUCCAGCGGCCUGCCAUUAACCGGUUGAAUGCCUCUUUGCUCGGAGCAUGCAGCCCACAGAGGAGAGAGGGAGAAAAGUUUCCUCUUAAAACACGCCUACCCAAUUAUCUCCCUGUAGGCUGUCUGCAUUUCCAUCACACGCUGCUCCCCAGUCCGCUCACCGGUCAGUAACAAAAUAAAUCUAGACUAAAAUUAUUAGCCAGCGAAAAUUAAAUAAGUCACUUACUUGACUUGCUUUCUCUCUCUCAGCAGAGCGGAGUGUUUCCUUCUGGGUAGGCUUGUUGGCUGCGGAUCAUACUCACAGAUUCUCAGUAUUUAUUGAGAGAGAGAGUGAGAUCCUGCGAGGGUUUUUUUGCAGCCAAUGGAAAUGAGAGAAAAUAUGAUGCGCAUUUUUACUGUCUAUGGAUGCGCAGAAAGGAUGCAGCAGCUGGAUGGUGGCAGCUCCUGACUGCACUCCAUCAUUAUAUGUUACCAUUAUUUAUUUAUCGGUACAAACAAAGGAAAUAUUAUUCUCUUUAGUAAUUAUCACGUCUAUAUUGUAUUGUUUUAGCAUGAUAAUCAGUAAUGUAUGCUCUAGAGGUGUCAAUACAGGUGUGGUACAUUGACCAAUCAGAGCCGAGCACCUGCACGCACCUCAGUGACGAUCACAUAUGAACCCAGAGCCGCUCAUAGUAAGGAUGUGGAGGUUUAAGCUACAUCUUGCAGAUUUAAUUGUUAAAAUAAGCUGAGCAAGCAAAACGGAAGCACUGUUUUAUAGUGAGAGGUGAAAAUAACUUCUCGGGGAUCUGUCACGGUCUGAUUCUGUG